AUGUGUGUGUGUCAGUAGUCUCUUCUGAUGUCUCUUCUGGUGUGUAUUCUCAAAGGGUGACUGUGUCUUGUCAACACGGAUUCAGGUUGAAGAAAUUUAAACAAGAAAGAUCAAUCUUCCCCAGGGAGUACCACUCUCAGCCACCAAUGCUAUGAGG